CUACGUGCCAGCAGCCGCGGUAAUACGUAGGUCCCGAGCGUUGUCCGGAUUUAUUGGGCGUAAAGCGAGCGCAGGCGGUUAGAUAAGUCUGAAGUUAAAGGCUGUGGCUUAACCAUAGUACGCUUUGGAAACUGUUUAACUUGAGUGCAAGAGGGGAGAGUGGAAUUCCAUGUGUAGCGGUGAAAUGCGUAGAUAUAUGGAGGAACACCGGUGGCGAAAGCGGCUCUCUGGCUUGUAACUGACGCUGAGGCUCGAAAGCGUGGGGAGCAAACAGGAUUAGAUACCCUAGUAGUCCACGCCGUAAACGAUGAGUGCUAGGUGUUAGACCCUUUCCGGGGUUUAGUGCCGUAGCUAACGCAUUAAGCACUCCGCCUGGGGAGUACGACCGCAAGGUUGAAACUCAAAGGAAUUGACGGGGGCCCGCACAAGCGGUGGAGCAUGUGGUUUAAUUCGAAGCAACGCGAAGAACCUUACCAGGUCUUGACAUCCCUCUGACCGCUCUAGAGAUAGAGUUUUC
rnacentral:rRNA from 1 species